UUACUCCCUUUCCAUUUUGCUUAUAAUGCAGUCGAACGCUUCUUUCCUCCGAGUGCUUGCACUCAAUUGGAGAGAGGAGUGGCGGACGGGUGAGUAACACGUGGGUAACCUACCCAUCAGAGGGGGAUAACACUUGGAAACAGGGGCUAAUACCGCAUAACAGUUUAUGCCGCAUGGCAUAAGAGUGAAAGGCGCUUUCGGGUGUCGCUGAUGGAUGGACCCGCGGUGCAUUAACUAGUUGGUGAGGUAACGGCUCACCAAGGCCACGAUGCAUAGCCGACCUGAGAGGGUGAUCGGCCACACUGGGACUGAAACACGGCCCAGACUCCUACGGGAGGCAGCAGUAGGGAAUCUUCGGCAAUGGACGAAAGUCUGACCGAGCAACGCCGCGUGAGUGAAGAAGGUUUUCGGAUCGUAAAACUCUGUUGUUAGAGAAGAACAAGGACGUUAGUAACUGAACGUCCCCUGACGGUAUCUAACCAGAAAGCCACGGCUAACUACGUGCCAGCAGCCGCGGUAAUACGUAGGUGGCAAGCGUUGUCCGGAUUUAUUGGGCGUAAAGCGAGCGCAGGCGGUUUCUUAAGUCUGAUGUGAAAGCCCCCGGCUCAACCGGGGAGGGUCAUUGGAAACUGGGAGACUUGAGUGCAGAAGAGGAGAGUGGAAUUCCAUGUGUAGCGGUGAAAUGCGUAGAUAUAUGGAGGAACACCAGUGGCGAAAGCGGCUCUCUGGUCUGUAACUGACGCUGAGCUCGAAAGCGUGGGGAGCAAACAGGAUUAGAUACCCUGGUAGUCCACGCCGUAAACGAUGAGUGCUAAGUGUUGGAGGGUUUCCGCCCUUCAGUGCUGCAGCAAACGCAUUAAGCACUCCGCCUGGGGAGUACGACCGCAAGGUUGAAACUCAAGGAAUUGACGGGGGCCCGCACAGCGUGGAGCAUGUGGUUUAAUUCGAAGCACGCGAAGAACCUUACCAGUCUUGACAUCUUUGACCCCUCUAGAGAUAGAGCUUUCCCUCGGGACAAGUGAAGUGUGCAUGUGUCGUCAGCUCAUGUCUGGGAUGUUGGGUAGUCCCGCACGAGCGCACCUAUGUA
rnacentral:rRNA from 1 species